GGGAUCUCCAAGACUAGCCAAAUCACCCAGUACAACCACUUUUACACUUGAUCUCAAGCCUGAUUCAGAUGCCAAGAAUGUGAUGCCAGCUGCUGCAGGAGCAGUUGCAGCUGGAGCUGUAGCUGAUCAGAUGCUUGGGCCAAAGGAAGACAUGCAUCUAGCAAUUGUUCUGGUUGGCUUGCCAGCUCGUGGAAAAACUUUUACUGCCGCUAAGCUUACUAGGUAUCUUCGAUGGUUAGGUCAUGACACCAAGCACUUCAAUGUUGGGAAGUACCGCCGACUCAAGCACGGAAGUAAUCAGACUGCUGAUUUCUUCCGAGCUGACAAUCCAGAAGGCUUGGAGGCUCGCAAUGAGGUAG
rnacentral:misc_RNA from 1 species